GGAGCUUUGCAACUUCUUCACAUGUACACAUCUGUCCCAAAUUGGGCGCUGAAUACACUCCUACAAACAAAACAGCAUUCUAUUGUUAAAUUUGUUUACUCGUGAGUCCUUUUGCUGGUUUGGUUUAGAUUUCUUCUGUGUGUUUCAAUUUUGCUGCUGCAUCGGCAUUCAGUGUCAGAUCUGUUUGUCUGUGUGCCAUUUUGAGCUUGACUCACACAUAACAGUGGUACGCUAACAGCCACGGUCUCGGAAAUGUUGGCUGAAAAACUACUAUCCAUGACAGCUGAAAAAGUAUAUCGAAUUGUCAUUUUCAACGUGCACACAUAUAUAAGCACUACAACUAAACAAGCUUCUCUCCGUACUUUCUCCUUACAUUACAUAUGAUUCUCGUCAAUCGAUGCUAGUUGCCUAUAUCAACUGCCAGUUUGCUCAUAAGCUUUGCAGACUUUAGCUACAAAUGCCAAUUUUCCCAAAAGCUUGGCACUCUGAUUGUCUCAUCCUGGCUUGAAAAGAAGCCCUCAACAUCUAUGCUCCUCAGCUAGGAAAUAACAAGCAAAAAUUCGAACCACCCACUCAUAGGAAGAAACAGUAACACACAUUAUACAUUUUUAAACUACUGGUUCCAUAAUUUGUUUGUUCUCUUGCAAUACCACAUAGAAAAACCAAAGUUGGGUGCGGCCAAAAUUCAAUCACAUGGUUUGACAUGUAUAGCUGGAUUUGAUUGCCCAUACCGUCUUAUAAUCAACCGCCUCAAUGAAGUUUCUCCCUUUUUUGUGCAAAUGACAGCUCUAUGUUUAUGGUGUAGAAUGUGCAGUUGUUUGUGAAUUUGUUGUUGCUCCGUGUGCACGAGCUCCUUCAGAGAAUUGUGCGGUGGUGACCGACGGAAAUAAGUUGUGUUGCUGUCGCCGAAGGAAGAAAUUACAAACAUGGCGAUACCACUAAGGGCAAUGGGAGAGUUAUUGAAGUACUGAUUUAACAGCUGGAAGCUCUUAGAAAAGCUCUUACUCACUCUUCUUGUCCUGAUUCAGCUUCUAAUUACCAGCUCUCAACUUAGCUAUUUCUAGUUAUUUCUUCGUGACUUACCCUGACAUUGACUAUCGCAAGCUAACAUACCUCUCUGCUGCAGAUGUAAGUACAGAAAAACUUAUUAAGAGUUGUUGUCCCCAGCACGGCCUCUACAAGUGCCUCAUCCAUGAUGCGGCAAUACUCGAUGAAAAGGCGUAAUUGCACAUUUCAUUGGCACUAGAUUGGCAAACUGAUUACAAUAGUUCCUACGUGGCAUUGUAAUGGAAGAGACUUUGAAUUUGACGUAAGUGAAGGAGUUCGUGACACACUGCAACAGGAGGAGAAGAUUGAGUUCUACGGAGGAACGACAAAAGAACCAAAGGUUCUUGCAGACGUUAUGGAGUCUAUAAUGGGGGUUGCAUAUUUGGAUUGUGGCUUUGAUGUGAAUGAUGUCUGGGUGGUCAGUUUCUUUUUUACUAUUUAAGUUUGUUCUGGCAAAUGAUCUUAUGAAAACGCUAUUUUCCUUAUCCUUUCUGGAUUUAGAGUACCAAUGUGUCAAUCAACUAUGCCUUAGUCCCAAUUAGUUAGGUUGGCUAUACGAUUCUCUAUAUCUAUUCCUCUGGAUUUCUAUUAUAACUUGAAAAUGUGAUUAUGUGGAAUCAAAGAGUUGAAUCUCGCAGGCCUAUUGGCUUUGAGUAAGUGCUUCUAAUUUACAGCCUCAACCUUAGUGUACAAGGGGUUUUAACUGUUAUUUAUCAAACCUUUUUUCAUUUAAAGCUAGUUAUGCUUGUAAACUUUGCAUCAAAUUGACUCAAGUCAUACCCCUGUUUACUGGUUGGUGACUUUCGCUGCAAUCUAAGUGAUGUCUGAGUAGUAAUUAUGUAUGCUUGUUCAUUUGUAGAGGCAAAACUUUUUUCCUCUGGUAAUGUUUUUAACAUGAUAUUCUCUAAUUGUUGAAUGAAAUGAUUAAAAGGUAUUCCUAAAACAAAAUUUUCACUGUGAUUUUUUUGGUAAUUUAUUGAAACUUCUCUUGAAAUUAAAUUUUGUGCUUGUCCUAAGAAUGUCACUUUUAAGCACAUGUAAUUUUUUGCUAGCUUUUCUGGCACAAUCUUAUCUAUGUAAUAGAGUCCAUGUUGGACAUGGUUAGAAAUUUGCACAAUUUUAAUUUUGACACUUCAGAUUAGUGCUUCCACAUAUAAUAUUUUACCUUGUAGAAAAAAGUAAUGCACGUGUGUGAGUGAGAGGUCACUGUUUGAAAUUUGAAUUUGUUUUACAUGAAGAAUAAUCUCAUAUUUGGGUCGUCUCAUUAAAAAUAAAAUUGGGAAGGGAAGAAUGAUAGAAGUCCAGAAUCGCAUCAUCGUAGAGAGCUAUUUUAACUUAAACAAUCAUAUUGGUUCUGAUAAAACAUACAAGCACCUAUUAAUAGUAAUUUUUAUGUUGGGUUAAGUCACAAAAACAACUAAGUUGAGGUUACAUUUAAAUGACGUAAUAUUUCUCCUCUUAGUGGCAAUAAUUUUCUAUCGGGGUUAAUAUCUCCUCGAAAAGUAGGCUCCAUCUGCUUCAUUUACAUACACCAACUACAAAAUAGCACAUCGAGGUUCUAUUUUGGAGAUUCCUUGUAUAUUUGAUUCCAACUUUUAUCCAAAUCAUUUUAUUUCCUUUUUUCCAUCUUAGAUAAAGCAACCAAACAUAUACAAUGAAACGACAUAAAUUGAUUAGUUUCAAUUAUUGAUUAAAAAACUUUGCAAUGAGCUGAGUAUAAAUUUACAACGAGGGACGUGGCCUUCAACCUAUGGGACAGUGUAGGAAUAGCUCCCACACCCUUCCCAGCCUAAAGUUUCACAAACCUCUUUUAUCAUCCUAAGACUCUAAAAAAUAUGAAAAAAAACUAGGACUUAUGAAAAUAUUUUUGAAUUUUAGCCAACUGAGUUCCUCCGUAACACCAAUUGAAACUUUGUUGUAAAAGGUCACUCAAAUUCUUUCUUUUAUUCCAAUCUUUUAAUGGUGCAGUGUGAAGCAUAGGUCAUUCAUUAUUACUGGAGAAAUGUGUGGAGUGGUCCUUUAGCUUCACGUGCAUCUGAGAGAUGAGGUAAACUCUAGAUUAUAAUGGAACACUACUCAAAGUACCUGUAGGAGUUCAACGAUAGUACCAAAUGAGUGCCACAACAAGGCGGUCAAAUUCGGGUGAAGUUCCUUCUUCUAGAGAAGGGGAAAACAAAGGUCGUAAGUAUAUUCUAGGUAAAUCUUAUUCUAUUUAACAGAAUAACAAGAUGAUACUCAAUCCAAAAUGUUUAAGUAAACAUCAUAAGUGAGAAGAAUAAAAACCUUGAAAAUCUAUAGAAGAGCGUUUUCACGAUGAUUAGGAUUGCAGAGAACAAACUCAAGUUGUUCAGGAUAUUGAAUUUUGUGAUCCUUAUUGGGUGGUGCUCCGGCGCUGAAAGAAAAUGAUGACAUACCACCUCCUCUUUUGAAGCUGCUGACACCGAUGGAGAAAGAUUGAGGGAAAAAAAAGGAGAGAAACUAAAGUUGAGUAAGUGAAAGGACAAAAAAGAUAAUAACAUUCAAUUGAGGCUUUAGAAUGAUAAACUUACCUCGAUCUUUCUCCGUCGGUGUUGGCAGCUUCGGAGGAGAAGGUGGUAUGUCGUCAGUCUUGCAGUGCCGGAGCACCCCUGAAUAAGGAUCGCAAAAUGUGAUAUGUUGAACAAUUUGUGUUUGUUCUCUAUGACCCUAAUAUUCGUGAAAACGCUCUUCUAAAGCUUUUCAGACUUAUUUUUCUAACUUUGACAUUUUGGAUUGAGUAUUAUUUUGUUGUUCUGCUAAAUAAAAUUAAGAUUUA